GUAAGUGACUUGCGUGUCCGAUAGCAAGUUACAAGUUUUUUGUUUAAUACAUCGAUUGCAACACUUUUGCAUGGUCACCUUGCCACUGAAUACCCUGAAAUUGUGUUUCAAAUAUUGAAACAUUUUAGCGGAGGCGCUUCAGAAGAAAAUCUUAAAGACCGCCUCGAUUAAUGUGGCUGGAAUAACGCUAGCUAGUUUAUUUAUCAUUCCUAGUAACUCAAAAACAUCUGACUUUUAUAGUCCAAGUGAUCACUGUGUCUGCUGAGUAAAUAACACUCACCAAACCUAAUGUUAUUUUUGAAGGAAUUCAACACGGGUACACGUCAACCCUAUGUGUGAAUGCUAGCAUGGAGUUUAGGAAGUUAGCUUGUCUGCCUAGCAGGCCAUUAUCUGCUUGAGCUGGUUGGCGAGAGUUUUCGACGUAUGUUAACUUGGACUUCUGGAAUUGUACCAUUUGAAGUGAGACUGUGCCCUUUAUGUACUGCUCUUAGUUGGCAUUAAAUAACUUAGAUAUUGUGCAUUUCCCGCCCAGCACGUGUUCCUUUGGUCCAGCCAUGUUUAACCCGGGUGCAAGUGGAUGGAAAGUUCUAGAACAACGAAGUGGCUACAAGAUCACGGAAUGGUCUACUGACGAGAAUCGUACGACAUAGUUGACUCCACCAGGCUGUCUGUAGGAUGCGGCCAUGUCAGUCCCCAGGGGACCUUGAGUCUGGACACCAGUGAAUUGAUGUGGUGGCCACGCCUCCUGUACUGUGACUUCAUCUGAUAUUUGCAAGACUUUGCACAAGUCAAUUUAUAAGACUUGUACUUUCAUAUAUAUUUUUUUUGUGAAUUGCAUGUCAUGCUUUAGAAAAAGCAGUGGAAUAAAA
ensembl:lncRNA